rnacentral:rRNA from 1 species
CAGUGGGGAAUAUUGCACAAUGGAGGAAACUCUGAUGCAGCAACGCCGCGUGGAGGAUGACGCAUUUCGGUGUGUAAACUCCUUUUAUAGGGGAAGAUAAUGACGGUACCCUAUGAAUAAGCACCGGCUAACUCCGUGCCAGCAGCCGCGGUAAUACGGAGGGUGCAAGCGUUACUCGGAAUCACUGGGCGUAAAGGAUGCGUAGGCUGGAAAUCAAGUCGAGAGUGAAAUCCAACGGCUCAACCGUUGAACUGCUCUCGAAACUGGUUACCUAGAAUAUGGGAGAGGUAGAUGGAAUUAGUGGUGUAGGGGUAAAAUCCGUAGAUAUCACUAGGAAUACCGAUUGCGA